UACGUAGGUGACCAGCGUUGUCCGGAUUUACUGGGCGUAAAGAGCGCGCAGGCGGUCGUUCAAGUCGAGUGUGAAAGCCCCCGGCUCAACUGGGGAGGGUCACUCGAUACUGAUCGACUUGAAGGCAGGAGAGGGAAGCGGAAUUCCCGGUGUAGUGGUGAAAUGCGUAGAUAUCGGGAGGAACACCAGUGGCGAAGGCGGCUUCCUGGCCUGUUCUUGACGCUGAGGCACGAAAGCGUGGGGAGCAAACAGG
rnacentral:rRNA from 1 species